UGGGGAAUUUUGGACAAUGGGCGAAAGCCUGAUCCAGCCAUGCCGCGUGCAGGAUGAAGGCCUUCGGGUUGUAAACUGCUUUUGUACGGAACGAAAAGCCUCUUUCUAAUAAAGAGAGGUCAUGACGGUACCGUAAGAAUAAGCACCGGCUAACUACGUGCCAGCAGCCGCGGUAAUACGUAGGGUGCAAGCGUUAAUCGGAAUUACUGGGCGUAAAGCGUGCGCAGGCGGUUUUGUAAGACAGAGGUGAAAUCCCCGGGCUCAACUGGGAACUGCCUUUGUGACUGCAAGGCUGGAGUGCGGCAGAGGGGGAUGGAAUUCCGCGUGUAGCAGUGAAAUGCGUAGAUAUGCGGAGGAACACCGAUGGCGAAGGCAAUCCCCUGGGCUGCACUGACGCUCAUGCACGAAAGCGUGGGGAGCAAACAGGAUUAGAUACCCUGGUAGU
rnacentral:rRNA from 1 species